rnacentral:rRNA from 1 species
UACGAAGGGGGCUAGCGUUGCUCGGAAUCACUGGGCGUAAAGCGCACGUAGGCGGCUUUUUAAGUCAGGGGUGAAAUCCUGGAGCUCAACUCCAGAACUGCCUUUGAUACUGAGAAGCUUGAGUCCGGGAGAGGUGAGUGGAACUGCGAGUGUAGAGGUGAAAUUCGUAGAUAUUCGCAAGAACACCAGUGGCGAAGGCGGCUCACUGGCCCGUUACCGACGCUCAGGCGCGACAGCGUGGGGAGCAAACAGG